GACGAACGCUGGCGGCGUGCUUAACACAUGCAAGUCGAACGAGAAUCUGUGGAAAGAGGAUUCGUCCAAUUGAAGCAGAGGACAGUGGCGGACGGGUGAGUAACGCGUGAGGAACCUGCCUUUCAGAGGGGGACAACAGUUGGAAACGACUGCUAAUACCGCAUAACAUAUAGAUGUCGCAUGGCAUUUAUAUCAAAGAUUUAUCGCUGAAAGAUGGCCUCGCGUCUGAUUAGCUAGUUGGUGAGGUAACGGCCCACCAAGGCGACGAUCAGUAGCCGGACUGAGAGGUUGAACGGCCACAUUGGGACUGAGAUACGGCCCAGACUCCUACGGGAGGCAGCAGUGGGGAAUAUUGGGCAAUGGGCGCAAGCCUGACCCAGCAACGCCGCGUGAAGGAAGAAGGCUUUCGGGUUGUAAACUUCUUUUGUCAGGGACGAGUAGAAGACGGUACCUGACGAAUAAGCCACGGCUAACUACGUGCCAGCAGCCGCGG
rnacentral:rRNA from 1 species